AUGGGUCUUUAUCUGAGAAAACCAUUUAUGGACAAAGUGAAAGGGAAACAUCUUCCAGAUGUUAAGCAACUGCCGAUGCAUCCAACCAUGGUUAAAACUAUGUUUCGGGUUCCCAUAACUUUCAGUCCUACUAAGGCACGCAUUUUCCUUGAUGACCGAGCCAAUAUUUUUUGGAAUCCUUAUACUCCAAAGAACUUAGUCGGGGUGGAUCAGUUGCAAAGGUCCUUCACCAUUUCUUCACAUCGGGGUAUGCUUCCAUGGAGGUGUGCUACUGAUGUUGAUGAUCUUUGCAUAGCGGAGCCAUAUCAUCCCGAUCGAGUUGCACGGCAACUUACUUUGAGACAACAAGUGCCCUAUGCUCCGUUGGUCAGCGUGUACACAAAGGAGGAUACUGGCGUUGCAUAUGCGUAUUGGUCGCAUUUGUUAUGCUCGGACCAAGGAGAGUUCCAGUACCUUCUUAAUGAUGUGCAUGAGGCAUUUUCUUCUGUGGCCUGGAACAACUGGUGGGUGGGAUUUAUGAAACCAUUUAACAACAUAUUCAAUACUCUUCGUCCGGGCAUCUCGAAUGGUCCGAAUUAUAAUCCGCGGAAACGUAAUUUUCUGAAACGCGGAGAGGAGUACAUAGUUCCUCGCAAGCUUUCAGAGAAUGAUUUUGUUGUUAUAAAGGAAGUCUCCGCCAGGGGUAAGGAGGAACAUAUUGCAGCCAUCAAAUUGAAUGGAAAGAGAAUUAUGGACCACUGGCGUCCCAUUCUGUGUGGCUUUCUCUCAAAUGAUGAACCUUUAAUCAACUGUAAAAAGAAGAAACGAAAGGUUAAGGAUGCUAUCGCUACUCAGUCCAUGACAUCUAAAGAGCAAAGUGGCGUACCAAAGUCUGUUGUUGCAGUUGGUUCUUCCUCUUCUCAUCCAUUGCUCGUGGGUAGUGAUGAUCUUCCGGAAAUUGCCCCGGCCACCGGCGGACAGAAGCGUAGAAAUUUAUCGCCCACUCAUGCUGACGAGGAAGAGAGGCUCCCCCUCAAGCGCAAACUUGAUUUUUCCCAAAAAUAUGAUUUUUCUGAAGCUAUGCCCCAUACCCCUAGUGCUCUUGAUUUCUUGUCAACUUUACCUGGUUGUGACCAAGAAAUUCGCCACUCACAAGACCCUGAGUGA
rnacentral:rRNA from 1 species